rnacentral:rRNA from 1 species
UCAGAGUUUUGAACCUGGCUCAGAUUGAACGCUGGCGGCAGGCCUAACACAUGCAAGUCGAGCGGAUGAAGGGAGCUUGCUCCUGGAUUCAGCGGCGGACGGGUGAGUAAUGCCUAGGAAUCUGCCUGGUAGUGGGGGACAACGUUUCGAAAGGAACGCUAAUACCGCAUACGUCCUACGGGAGAAAGCAGGGGACCUUCGGGCCUUGCGCUAUCAGAUGAGCCUAGGUCGGAUUAGCUAGUUGGUGGGGUAAUGGCCCACCAAGGCGACGAUCCGUAGCUGGUCUGAGAGGAUGAUCAGCCACACUGGGACUGAGACACGGCCCAGACUCCUACGGGAGGCAGCAGUGGGGAAUAUUGGACAAUGGGCGAAAGCCUGAUCCAGCCAUGCCGCGUGUGUGAAGAAGGUCUUCGGAUUGUAAAGCACUUUAAGUUGGGAGGAAGGGCUGUUACCUAAUACGUGACAGUUUUGACGUUACCAACAGAAUAAGCACCGGCUAC